rnacentral:rRNA from 1 species
UACGUAGGGUGCAAGCGUUGUCCGGAAUUACUGGGCGUAAAGGGCUCGUAGGCGGCCAACUAAGUCGGAUGUGAAAUCCCCAGGCUUAACCUGGGAACUGCAUCCGAUACUGGAUGGCUUGAAUCCGGGAGAGGGAUGCAGAAUUCCAGGUGUAGCGGUGAAAUGCGUAGAUAUCGGGAAGAACACCAGUGGCGAAAGCGCUCUACUGGGCCAUAACUGACACUGAGGGACGAAAGCUAGGGGAGCGAAAGGG